rnacentral:rRNA from 1 species
GAUGAACGCUGGCGGCGUGCCUAACACAUGCAAGUCGAGCGAACAGACGAGGAGCUUGCUCCUUUGUCGUUUGGCGAGGACGGGUGUAUAACACGUGGAUACCCUACCUAUCAGACUGGGAAAACUUCGGGAAAGCGGAGAUAAUACGGGAUAAUAUCUUGCACCGUAUGGUUCAAUAGUGAAAUACGGUUUUGUUGUAAUGUAUAGCUGGCUUCGCGCCGCAUUAGCUAGUUGGUAAGGUACAAGCUUACCAAGGCAACUAUGCGUAAGCGACGUGAUAGGGGGGUCGGCGACACUGGAACUGAGACGCGCUCCUGAGUCCUACGGGACGCACCAGAAGGGAAUCGUCCGCAAUGGGCGAAAGCCUGACGGAACAGCGCCGCGUGAGAUAUAAAGGUCUUCGGAUCGUAAUGCUCUGUUAUUAGUUGAGAACAAAUGUGUAAUGAACUGUACACGUCGUGACGGUACCGGGUAAGAAAGCCACGGCUAACUACGUG